CCCCAGGCCUUUGUUGAGGCCACACACAGACACAUUCCUAAGUCAU
rfam:Fukomys damarensis contig70710, whole genome shotgun sequence.